CACAUCACGUUCAAAAGUACCAGUUCUCAUCUGAUCACUGAAGUCAAGUGACGUUGAGCACGGUUAGUACUUGGAUGGGUGACCCCUUGGGAACACCGUCC
rnacentral:rRNA from 1 species